GCAGUCGUGGCCGCGCGUGGUUAAGCCGAUGGACUAGAAAUCCAUUGGGGUCUCCCCGCACAGGUUCGAAUCCUGUCGACUGCG
rfam:Ixodes scapularis strain Wikel colony gcontig_1108379074688, whole genome shotgun sequence.